UCAGCUAACCGAUCGAUCGCCGCUCGCAAUAUGCGAGGGGAGGAAAGUCCGGGCUACAUAAAGGCAACGACAGUCGCUAACGGCGACCAAGGGUGACCUUAGGGAAAGUGCCACAGAAACGUGUACCGCCUCGUUUUACGAGGUAAGGGUGAAACGAGUGGGGUAAGAGCCCACAACAUCUGUAGGUGACUAUGGAAUGUUGGUAAACCCUGUCUGUAGCAAGGAGUGACUCAAGCUUCUUUUCUAGGAGCCGGCGCCUACCGCGAGUUACAAAGACACCGCUUGAUCAGGGUAUACCUGACUAGAUAGAUGAUCGAUCUCGACAAAACCCGGCUUAUAGGUUAACUGACAAA
rnacentral:RNase_P_RNA from 1 species